rnacentral:rRNA from 1 species
GAUGAACGCUGGCGGCCUGCUUAACACAUGCAAGUCGAACGAAGCACUUUAUUUGAUUUCCUUCGGGACUGAUUAUUUUGUGACUGAGUGGCGGACGGGUGAGUAACGCGUGGGUAACCUGCCUUGUACAGGGGGAUAACAGUUGGAAACGGCUGCUAAUACCGCAUAAGCGCACAGCAUCGCAUGAUGCAGUGUGAAAAACUCCGGUGGUAUAAGAUGGACCCGCGUUGGAUUAGCUAGUUGGUGAGGUAACGGCCCACCAAGGCGACGAUCCAUAGCCGACCUGAGAGGGUGACCGGCCACAUCGGGACUGAGACACGGCCCAAACUCCUACGGGAGGCAGCAGUGGGGAAUAUUGCACAAUGGGCGAAAGCCUGAUGCAGCGACGCCGCGUGAGCGAAGAAGUAUUUCGGUAUGUAAAGCUCUAUCAGCAGGGAAGAUAAUGACGGUACCUGACUAAGAAGCACCGGCUAAAUACGUG